rnacentral:RNase_P_RNA from 1 species
GAAGAAAAUUAGACAAUCGUUCCGAUUUUAUCGGAAAGGAAAGUCCGAACACCAGGAGCAAAAUACUUCGUAACGCGAAGUUCCAGCGAUGGGAAGAUAGUGCCACAGAAAAUAAACCGUCUCGAUAAUUCGAGAUAAGGGUGAAAAGGUGGCGUAAGAGACCACCAGUUUUGAUGGCGACAUCAAAAGCUCGGUAAACCUUAUUUGGUGCAAGGUCAAAUAGAAGAGAAUUCUCAUAAUUUUUUGUGAGAAACGAAUAGCUCCGCUCGUCAAACUCUUGGGUAGACCGCAAAAAUCAAGUGGCGACGCUUGAUUCAGAUAAAUGAUUGUCAUUCCGAUUUUCGGAUUGGAAAACAGAAUUCGGCUUAUUAUUCUCUUCAGCA